rnacentral:rRNA from 1 species
UACAGAGGGUGCGAGCGUUAAUCGGAAUUACUGGGCGUAAAGCGCGCGUAGACGGUUUUGUAAGUCAGAUGUGAAAAUCCCUGGGCUCAACCUGGGAACUGCAUUUGAAACUGCAUGGCUAGAGUAUGGAAGAGGGAAGUGGAAUUUCCGGUGUAGCGGUGAAAUGCGUAGAUAUCGGAAGGAACACCAGUGGCGAAAGCGACUUCCUGGUCCAAUACUGACGUUCAUGUGCGAAAGCGUGGGGAGCAAACAGG